CCUUUAAUUGCAACUUCACGAAAAUUAGUCUUUGUGUUCGAGUACAGCCUUUUCCAUUCAUCCAGAAUCAUCUUGCUAGGAGGCAAAAGAUCAAGAGGAUUCUUUGCUUUGGGCUUGGGUGCCUCUUCCUCCUCAGCAGCCUCUUCUGCUUUAGGUGGCACUGCUUCUUUCUUGACCUCCUUAGGUUUUGCAGGUUCUUUUGGCUGUGAAGGCUUCUUUGUGGACUGAACAGGUGGAAUAGAUUCAACUUGCUUCACCUCACCCAAUAUCUUCUGGAAAUUUGGCUGAUUAA